GACGAACGCUGGCGGCGUGCUUAACACAUGCAAGUCGAACGGAAAGGCCUCUUUCUGGGGGUGCUCUCGUGUCGAACGCGUGAGUAACACGUGUGUAUCCUGCCCUUUACUUUUUGGUAACUUCUCGAGACUCUGGCUCAUACCGCGUAUGAGCUCCUGCUGCGUGUUGUGGGUUGUGAAGUUUCGGCGGUUGGGGAUGGACUCGCGGCUUAUCAGCUUGUUGGUGGGGUAGUGGCUUACCAAGGCUUUGACGGGUAGCCGGCCUGAGAGGGUGACCGGCCACAUUGGGACUGAGAUACGGCCCAGACUCCUACGGGAGGCAGCAGUGGGGAAUAUUGCACAAUGGGCGGAAGCCUGAUGCAGCAACGCCGUGUGCGGGAUGACGGCCUUCGGGUUGUAAACCGCUUUCGCCUGUGACGAAGCGUGAGUGACGGUAAUGGGUAAAGAAGCACCGGCUAACUACGUG
rnacentral:rRNA from 1 species